GUGGGGAAUAUUGGGCAAUGGGCGCAAGCCUGACCCAGCAACGCCGCGUGAGGGAAGAAGGUUUUCGGAUUGUAAACCUCUGUCCUCAGGGACGAAGGAAGUGACGGUACCUGAGGAGGAAGCCCCGGCUAACUACGUGCCAGCAGCCGCGGUAAUACGUAGGGGGCGAGCGUUGUCCGGAAUUACUGGGCGUAAAGGGCGCGCAGGCGGCCGAUCAAGUCAGAUGUGAAACCCCCGGGCUCAACCUGGGAACUGCAUUUGAAACUGGUUGGCUUGAGUGCAGGAGAGGAAAGCGGAAUUCCUAGUGUAGCGGUGAAAUGCGUAGAUAUUAGGAAGAACACCAGUGGCGAAGGCGGCUUUCUGGACUGCAACUGACGCUGAGGCGCGAAAGCGUGGGGAGCGAACAGGA
rnacentral:rRNA from 1 species